rnacentral:rRNA from 1 species
GUAAUGUCUGGAACGUAACUCGAUGGAGGGGGAUAACUACUGGAAACGGUAGCUAAUACCGCAUAACGUCGCAAGACCAAAGAGGGGGACCUUCGGGCCUCUUGCCAUCGGAUGUGCCCAGAUGGGAUUAGCUAGUAGGUGGGGUAACGGCUCACCUAGGCGACGAUCCCUAGCUGGUCUGAGAGGAUGACCAGCCACACUGGAACUGAGACACGGUCCAG